UUUCCUUUUUCUCAGCUUAUAUUUAUGUUUCUCCUUUCAGUUUUUAGGUCAAGUUCAAGAUCUGCUGUUUUGCUGUGAUGAUUGAGAUCAGCAUUUGUGUAUUUUGCAUUGAUUAUCCCAUUCAAUUAAUUUGAAUCUGAAAUUAGGUUUCUGGGUGAUUGAUACUACUUUGCAGAAUCACAUGAUUAUGAUUAGGAUUAGGAUUAGGAUUUAGGAUUCAAAUUGAACCUCUAUAUGAUGUGAAUGAUGCCCAAUAUUAUGUUUCAUGAGAGGGGAAGUUCAAAUGCUUGCAAUGGCUUGGACUUUAUCGCAUUCCUGUGUGAUUCUUGCCUUGGAAUUGACUGUAAACUUUGCCGGAUACUAUCCAUGUGUCUAUGUACUUAGUUCAACUUCUCGUUGCUAUGCUAACAAUUCUACAUUGUUACCCCAUUAUAUAAUGCCUUAGUUCAGAUUGUAGUUAGCAUUCCAGUGAAACAUCAUAGGCUCGCCAUUUUUUUGUUUAUUGUAUUUGGAAUCCAGUGUUCUUGACAUGAUGACUCUAGUAAGUAACUAUAUUUAUAGGAAUUAUAGGAAGAUCACAUACAAGACAUGGUGGAAAUGGCUUCAAUUUUGAUACUUUAUUUACAAAAAAUGCAUACUAAUGGAUAGAUUUUAGGUCAUUU